UACGGAGGAUCCAAGCGUUAUCCGGAAUCAUUGGGUUUAAAGGGUCCGUAGGCGGGAUGUUAAGUCAGUGGUGAAAGUUUUCGGCUUAACCGAAAAAUUGCCAUUGAUACUGGCGUUCUUGAAUUAUUGUGAAGUAACUAGAAUACGUAGUGUAGCGGUGAAAUGCAUAGAUAUUACGUGGAAUACCAAUUGCGAAGGCAGGUUACUAACAAUAUAUUGACGCUGAUGGACGAAAGCGUGGGUAGCGAAC
rnacentral:rRNA from 1 species